UCUAAACGUUUUUCAGGUGGGAUAUCAGGUUGUUGCUAGUCCUCUGACAAUUCAGGAAAUGGAGAAGCCAAUGAAAUCUGACUAUGAAGUAUUUUUGAGCUUUAGAGGAGCGGAUACUCGCCGCGAUAUCACUGAUUACCUUUACCACAGCCUCAUUGAUGCCGGAAUACGAGCAUAUAUAGAUAAUGAAGAGCUUCGCAUUGGGGAAGAGAUUGGCCCAGAGCUUCUCCAAGCAAUUAAGCAGUCGAAAAUCUCGAUUCCUAUCUUCUCUAAAGAAUAUGCUGCCAGUAAAUGGUGCCUCAUGGAGUUGGUCCAGAUGGUGGAGUGCAAGGAAAAGUGGGGACAAAAGAUCAUGCCAAUAUUCUAUGACAUUGCACCAUCCGAGGUUCGUUACCAGACUGCAAGUUAUGGUGUGGCCAUUAAUUCACACAUGAAUAAGCAGCGGUACACUGAUGAGACUAUUCUGAACUGGAAGGCAGCUCUCAACAAGGUGGGAGCAUUAAAGGGAUGGGAACUCAAGGACAGAGGCAAUGGUGAGAUCACGAAAGAAGUUGUUCAGAACCUUUUGAUCGAGUUGAAAAAGAACUACUUGGCAGUGUCUAGUUGCUUGGUUGAAAUGGACUAUCAAGUGGAAAAAUCAUGGAAGUGAUAGGUGAAUAGGCUGCUGAAACAGAGAUUGUUGGUAUCCAUGGUAUGGGUGGCGUCGGAAAGACAACUCUUGCCACAUUCAUCUAUAAUAAACUGUCAGCUGAUUUCAAUAGCCGUUGCUUCCUGUCUAACGUUCGAGAUACAAACAUUGUGACUUUGCAGAAUCAGCUCAUCUCUGAUGUCCUAAAAACGAAAUGCCUGUCCAUCACUAAUAUUAACGAAGGUAUUACCGAGAUCAAGGAGAGGUUCUCCUCUAUAAAGGUCUUACUUGUACUUGACGAUGUCGACCACAAGACCCAGGUGGAUGCUCUUGUGGGGGUGGGUGAACGCCGGUUCGGCAGAGGAAGCAAGAUUAUUAUUACCACAAGAGACGGGGAACUUCUCAAAGAUGUUGAUUUGAAGCAUGAACUUACUGAAAUGGAUUUUGAUCAUUCUCUUCAACUGUUUAGCAAACAUGCCUUUAGAAGAGAUUGUCCUCCAGCAGAAUACAUCCCCCUCUCGGAAAAGGCGGUAGAAAUCUGCGGUCGUCUUCCUUUGGCCCUUGAGAUUAUAGCUUCAUUUUUAAAUGGAAAGGACAGAAAAAUAUGGGAGACCACGUUAAAGAAGCUGGAAACUAUUCCCAAUAAAGAGGUUAAAAGUAAGUUGAACAUCAGUUUCGAGGCAUUAGAACCUGAAGAGAAGGAAAUAUUUCUUGAUGUUUGUUGCUUUUUUGCUGGGUUUGAUGUGAGAAUUGUUAGUCACAUGUGGGACAGCUGUGGGUUCUUCCCUGCAUAUGCUCUUGAAGUCCUCCAACAGAAGUCAUUAAUAAAGAUUACAGAAGGCAACCGAUUGUGGAUACAUGAUCAGCUAAGAGACCUUGGGCGAGACAUCGUUUGUCAAAAUGGUAAAUUAAGACCAGAGAGGCAAAGUCGGGUGUGGGAUCAUGAGCAAGCAAAUGAUGUUCUCAUAGCAAAGGAGGGAACAGAAAACGUUGAAGCAAUACGUCUCAAGUUUGAUCAUCUCUCUCAGCGCUUCUUUAAGGAGGAAGAAUUUGCAAGUCUAUCAAACUUAAGGUUUCUUCAAGUGGAUCGUGGAUACUUGGAUAUGGACAACAUCCAGCAUUUUUCUUUAACCAACUGUUUCCAAAGGAAUCUAUCCAAGCUUCCGAAGUUGAGAUGGGUCUCAUGGCAUUACUUCGUUCGGCGUUUUCCUUUAACCAACUGGUUCCAGAGGAAUCUGCUCAUCUUUCCGGAGUUGAGAUUUCUCUCAUGGCAUGAGUUUCCCAUAUUUUCCAAUUGACUGCAUUUUCCCUUAUGAAGCUAGUGAUUCUUGAUCUAUCACAUAGCAAAAUUACAGAUGAUUGGGAGGGAUGGAACCACCUCAAGAUGGCAAAGAAUUUGAAGGUUCUAAAUUUGACCAAAUGCAGAAAGUUGCGUAGAACUCCCGACUUUUCUGCUCAUAAAAAUUUAGAGAAACUGAUUCUUCAAGGGUGUGAGGAACUGGUUCAUGCUGAUAGGUCUAUU